rnacentral:rRNA from 1 species
UACGGGGGGUGCGAGCGUUGUCCGGAAUCACUGGGCGUAAAGGGCGCGUAGGUGGCCAACUAAGUCAGACGUGAAAUCCCUCAGCUUAACUGGGGAACUGCGUCUGAUACUGGAUGGCUUGAGUUUGGGAGAGGGAUGCGGAAUUCCAGGUGUAGCGGUGAAAUGCGUAGAUAUCUGGAGGAACACCGGUGGCGAAGGCGGCAUCCUGGACCAACACUGACACUGAGGAGCGAAAGCCAGGGGAGCAAACGGG